rnacentral:rRNA from 1 species
AGCGAACGCUGGCGGCAGGCCUAACACAUGCAUGUCGAACGAACCUUUCGGGGUUAGUGGCGGACGGGUGAGUAACACGUGGGAACGUGCCUUUAGGUUCGGAAUAACUCAGGGAAACUUGUGCUAAUACCGAAUGUGCCCUUCGGGGGAAAGAUUAAUCGCCUUUAGAGCGGCCCGCGUCUGAUUAGCUAGUUGGUUGAGGUAAUGGCUCACCAAGGCGACGAUCAGUAGCUGGUCUGAGAGGAUGAUCAGCCACAUUGGGACUGAGACACGGCCCAAACUCCUACGGGAGGCAGCAGUGGGGAAUCUUGCGCAAUGGGCGAAAGCCUGACGCAGCCAUGCCGCGUGAAUGAUGAAGGUCUUAGGAUUGUAAAAUUCUUUCACCGGGGACGAUAAUGACGGUACCCGGAGAAGAAGCCCCGGCUAACUUCGUG